rnacentral:rRNA from 1 species
CCUACGGGAGGCAGCAGUAAGGAAUAUUGGUCAAUGGACGCAAGUCUGAACCAGCCAUGCCGCGUGAAGGAUUAAGGUCCUCUGGAUUGUAAACUUCUUUUAUCUGGGACGAAAAAAGGCGAUUCUUCGUCACUUGACGGUACCAGAUGAAUAAGCACCGGCUAACUCCGUGCCAGCAGCCGCGGUAAUACGGAGGGUGCAAGCGUUAUCCGGAUUCACUGGGUUUAAAGGGUGCGUAGGCGGGCAGGUAAGUCAGUGGUGAAAUCCUAGAGCUUAACUCUAGAACUGCCAUUGAUACUAUCUGUCUUGAAUAUUGUGGAGGUAAGCGGAAUAUGUCAUGUAGCGGUGAAAUGCUUAGAUAUGACAUAGAACACCUAUUGCGAAGGCAGCUUACUACGCAUAUAUUGACGCUGAGGCACGAAAGCGUGGGGAUCAAACAGGAUUAGAUACCCUGGUAGUCCACGCCCUAAACGAUGAUUACUCGACAUUUGUGAUACACUAUAAGUGUCUGAGNGAAGANAUAAGUAAUACACCNGGAGUACGACCGCGAGUUAGUAACGUACGAAGAAGUAGACGGACGUUGAGACGUUGCCGACGGACGACGACGAGGGGAGGAGGG